rnacentral:rRNA from 1 species
AUUGAACGCUGGCGGCAGGCCUAACACAUGCAAGUCGAACGGUAACAGGAAGCAGCUUGCUGCUUUGCUGACGAGUGGCGGACGGGUGAGUAAUGUCUGGGAAACUGUCCGAUGGAGGGGGAUAACUACUGGAAACGGUAGCUAAUACCGCAUAACGUAGCAAGCCCAAAGAGGGGGACAUUAGGGCCUCUUGCCAUCGGAUGUGCCCAGAUGGGAUUAGCUAGUAGGUGGGGUAACGGCUCACCUAGGCGACGAUCCCUAGCUGGUCUGAGAGGAUGACCAGCCACACUGGAACUGAGACACGGUCCAGACUCCUACGGGAGGCAGCAGUGGGGAAUAUUGCACAAUGGGCGCAAGCCUGAUGCAGCCAUGCCGCGUGUAUGAAGAAGGCCUUCGGGUUGUAAAGUACUUUCAGCGGGGAGGAAGGGAGUAAAGUUAAUACCUUUGCUCAUUGACGUUACCCGCAGAAGAAGCACCGGCUAACUCCGUG